AGAGUUUGAUCAUGGCUCAGAAUGAACGCUGGCGGCGUGCUUAACACAUGCAAGUCGAGCGAGAAAGUUCCUUCGGGAAUGAGUAAAGCGGCGGACGGGUGAGUAACGCGUAAGGAUCUACCCUUUAGUGAAGAAUACCCUCGAGAAAUCGAGGCUAAUACUGCAUACGUCCCUUCGGGGAGAAAGGUGGCCUCUUGCUACCGCUAAAGGAUGAACUUGCGUACUAUUAGCUAGUUGGUGGGGUAAAAGCCUACCAAGGCGAUGAUGGUUAACCGGCCUGAGAGGGUGUACGGUCACACUGGAACUGAGAUACGGUCCAGACUCCUACGGGAGGCAGCAGUGAGGAAUAUUGCGCAAUGGGCGAAAGCCUGACGCGGCGACGCCGCGUGGAGGAUGACGGCCUUCGGGUUGUAAACUCCUGUUAAGUGGGAAGAAAAGCUUGUUUCUAAUAAAGACAGGUUCUGACGGUACCACUAGAGAAAGCACCGGCUAACUUCGUGCCAGCAGCCGCGGUAAUACGAGGGGUGCUAGCGUUAUUCGGAAUUACUGGGCGUAAAGGGUGUGUAGGCGGUUUAUUAAGUCUGCUGUUAAAUAUCUCGGCUCAACCGGGAAACAGCGGUAGAUACUGGUAAGCUAGAGGAUGGAAGAGAGAAGUGGAAUUCUCGGAGUAGCGGUAAAAUGCGUAGAUCUCGAGAGGAACACCGAUGGCGAAGGCAGCUUCUUGGUCCAUUUCUGACGCUAAUGCACGAAAGCGUGGGGAGCAAACAGGAUUAGAUACCCUGGUAGUCCACGCCGUAAACGAUGAUCACUAGACGUUAGUUCUGCUUGCAGAACUAGUGUCGUAGCUAACGCGUUAAGUGAUCCGCCUGGGGACUACGGUCGCAAGAUUAAAACUCAAAGGAAUUGACGGGGGACCGCACAAGCGGUGGAACAUGUGGUUUAAUUCGAUACUACGCGAGGAACCUUACCUAGGCUUGACAUGUAAUUGAUCGCUGUAGAAAUGCAGUUUUCCAAGUUUACUUGGACAGUUACACAGGUGCUGCAUGGCUGUCGUCAGCUCGUGUCGUGAGAUGUUUGGUUAAGUCCUCUAACGAGCGCAACCCUUGUCACCAGUUGCAACUUUUUUAAGGCACUCUGGUGAGACUGCCCGGGAAACCGGGAGGAAGGUGGGGAUGACGUCAAGUCCUCAUGGCCCUUAUGCCUAGGGCAACACACGUGUUACAAUGGUCGAUACAAAGGGCUGCAAACUUGCAAAAGUAAGCAAAUCCCAUAAAGUCGAUCUAAGUUCGGAUUGAGGUCUGCAAUUCGACCUCAUGAAGCUGGAAUCGCUAGUAAUCGCGUAUCAGAACGACGCGGUGAAUACGUUCUCGGUCCUUGUACACACCGCCCGUCACACCACGAAAGUUGUCUGUACCCGAAGUCGCUUUAGCUAACCCGUAAGGGAAGCGAGUGCCUAAGGUAUGGGGAGUGAUUGGGGUGAAGUCGUAACAAGGUA
rnacentral:rRNA from 1 species